GGUUAAGCGACUAAGCGUACACGGUGGAUGCCCUGGCAGUCAGAGGCGAUGAAGGACGUGCUAAUCUGCGAUAAGCGUCGGUAAGGUGAUAUGAACCGUUAUAACCGGCGAUUUCCGAAUGGGGAAACCCAGUGUGAUUCGUCACACUAUCAUUAACUGAAUCCAUAGGUUAAUGAGGCGAACCGGGGGAACUGAAACAUCUAAGUACCCCGAGGAAAAGAAAUCAACCGAGAUUCCCCCAGUAGCGGCGAGCGAACGGGGAGCAGCCCAGAGCCUGAAUCAGUGUGUGUGUUAGUGGAAGCGUCUGGAAAGGCGCGCGAUACAGGGUGACAGCCCCGUACACAAAAAUGCACAUGCUGUGAGCUCGAUGAGUAGGGCGGGACACGUGGUAUCCUGUCUGAAUAUGGGGGGACCAUCCUCCAAGGCUAAAUACUCCUGACUGACCGAUAGUGAACCAGUACCGUGAGGGAAAGGCGAAAAGAACCCCGGCGAGGGGAGUGAAAAAGAACCUGAAACCGUGUACGUACAAGCAGUGGGAGCCUCUUUAUGGGGUGACUGCGUACCUUUUGUAUAAUGGGUCAGCGACUUAUAUUCUGUAGCAAGGUUAACCGAAUAGGGGAGCCGAAGGGAAACCGAGUCUUAACUGGGCGUUAAGUUGCAGGGUAUAGACCCGAAACCCGGUGAUCUAGCCAUGGGCAGGUUGAAGGUUGGGUAACACUAACUGGAGGACCGAACCGACUAAUGUUGAAAAAUUAGCGGAUGACUUGUGGCUGGGGGUGAAAGGCCAAUCAAACCGGGAGAUAGCUGGUUCUCCCCGAAAGCUAUUUAGGUAGCGCCUCGUGAAUUCAUCUCCGGGGGUAGAGCACUGUUUCGGCAAGGGGGUCAUCCCGACUUACCAACCCGAUGCAAACUGCGAAUACCGGAGAAUGUUAUCACGGGAGACACACGGCGGGUGCUAACGUCCGUCGUGAAGAGGGAAACAACCCAGACCGCCAGCUAAGGUCCCAAAGUCAUGGUUAAGUGGGAAACGAUGUGGGAAGGCCCAGACAGCCAGGAUGUUGGCUUAGAAGCAGCCAUCAUUUAAAGAAAGCGUAAUAGCUCACUGGUCGAGUCGGCCUGCGCGGAAGAUGUAACGGGGCUAAACCAUGCACCGAAGCUGCGGCAGCGACGCUUAUGCGUUGUUGGGUAGGGGAGCGUUCUGUAAGCCUGCGAAGGUGUACUGUGAGGUAUGCUGGAGGUAUCAGAAGUGCGAAUGCUGACAUAAGUAACGAUAAAGCGGGUGAAAAGCCCGCUCGCCGGAAGACCAAGGGUUCCUGUCCAACGUUAAUCGGGGCAGGGUGAGUCGACCCCUAAGGCGAGGCCGAAAGGCGUAGUCGAUGGGAAACAGGUUAAUAUUCCUGUACUUGGUGUUACUGCGAAGGGGGGACGGAGAAGGCUAUGUUGGCCGGGCGACGGUUGUCCCGGUUUAAGCGUGUAGGCUGGUUUUCCAGGCAAAUCCGGAAAAUCAAGGCUGAGGCGUGAUGACGAGGCACUACGGUGCUGAAGCAACAAAUGCCCUGCUUCCAGGAAAAGCCUCUAAGCAUCAGGUAACAUCAAAUCGUACCCCAAACCGACACAGGUGGUCAGGUAGAGAAUACCAAGGCGCUUGAGAGAACUCGGGUGAAGGAACUAGGCAAAAUGGUGCCGUAACUUCGGGAGAAGGCACGCUGAUACGUAGGUGAAGCGACUUGCUCGUGGAGCUGAAAUCAGUCGAAGAUACCAGCUGGCUGCAACUGUUUAUUAAAAACACAGCACUGUGCAAACACGAAAGUGGACGUAUACGGUGUGACGCCUGCCCGGUGCCGGAAGGUUAAUUGAUGGGGUUAGCGGUAACGCGAAGCUCUUGAUCGAAGCCCCGGUAAACGGCGGCCGUAACUAUAACGGUCCUAAGGUAGCGAAAUUCCUUGUCGGGUAAGUUCCGACCUGCACGAAUGGCGUAAUGAUGGCCAGGCUGUCUCCACCCGAGACUCAGUGAAAUUGAACUCGCUGUGAAGAUGCAGUGUACCCGCGGCAAGACGGAAAGACCCCGUGAACCUUUACUAUAGCUUGACACUGAACAUUGAGCCUUGAUGUGUAGGAUAGGUGGGAGGCUUUGAAGUGUGGACGCCAGUCUGCAUGGAGCCGACCUUGAAAUACCACCCUUUAAUGUUUGAUGUUCUAACGUUGGCCCCUGAUCGGGGUUGCGGACAGUGUCUGGUGGGUAGUUUGACUGGGGCGGUCUCCUCCUAAAGAGUAACGGAGGAGCACGAAGGUUGGCUAAUCCUGGUCGGACAUCAGGAGGUUAGUGCAAUGGCAUAAGCCAGCUUGACUGCGAGCGUGACGGCGCGAGCAGGUGCGAAAGCAGGUCAUAGUGAUCCGGUGGUUCUGAAUGGAAGGGCCAUCGCUCAACGGAUAAAAGGUACUCCGGGGAUAACAGGCUGAUACCGCCCAAGAGUUCAUAUCGACGGCGGUGUUUGGCACCUCGAUGUCGGCUCAUCACAUCCUGGGGCUGAAGUAGGUCCCAAGGGUAUGGCUGUUCGCCAUUUAAAGUGGUACGCGAGCUGGGUUUAGAACGUCGUGAGACAGUUCGGUCCCUAUCUGCCGUGGGCGCUGGAGAACUGAGGGGGGCUGCUCCUAGUACGAGAGGACCGGAGUGGACGCAUCACUGGUGUUCGGGUUGUCAUGCCAAUGGCACUGCCCGGUAGCUAAAUGCGGAAGAGAUAAGUGCUGAAAGCAUCUAAGCACGAAACUUGCCCCGAGAUGAGUUCUCCCUGACUCCCUGAGAGUCCUGAAGGAACGUUGAAGACGACGACGUUGAUAGGCCGGGUGUGUAAGCGCAGCGAUGCGUUGAGCUAACCGGUACUAAUGAACCGUGAGGCUUAACCUU
rnacentral:rRNA from 1 species